rnacentral:tRNA from 1 species
GUGAACAUAGUUUAUAACAAAUUCUAGUCCGUGACACUAGAGAUGAAGACUAACUAUCUUCUGCUCACC